rnacentral:rRNA from 1 species
UGAGGGAUAUUGCGCAAUGGGGGAAACCCUGACGCAGCGACGCCGCGUGGGUGAAGAAGGCUUUCGGGUCGUAAAGCCCUUUUUGGCAUGACGAGGAAGGACGGUAGUGCCAGAAGAAGCCUCGGCUAACUACGUGCCAGCAGCCGCGGUAAAACGUAGGAGGCGAGCGUUAUCCGGAGUUACUGGGCGUAAAGGGUGCGUAGGCGGCGGUGCAAGUGAGGCGUGAAAGCCCCGGGCUAAACUCGGGGAGGACAUUUCAGACUGCACGGCUAGAGUGAAACAGAGGAGCGCGGAAUUCGGGGUGUAGCGGUGAAAUGUGUAGAGAUCCCGAGGAACACCAGUGGUGCAAACGGCGCUCUGGGUUUAGACUGACGCUGAGGCACGAAAGCUUGGGGAGCGAACGGGAUUAGAGACCCCGGUAGUCCAAGCCGUAAACGAUGUCAACUGGGUGUUUGGGAGGGGAAACCUGACUGGGUGCCGAAGCCAACGCGGUAAGUUGACCGCCUGGGGAGUACGGUCGCAAGGCUAAAACU